CCUUCGUCUUCCCUGUCAGCUCGAUUCCCUUUAUAGCCCCAGAGGGUUCCACCCCGACUUCUUCAUACUUAGCCCCGUGCUCCCAGACCACGCCUUCUCUCCCUGCGCCUUCCCUCCUCUCCUGCGUUGUGCGAACCGACAGACACGGCAGAGGCAGACAAACACACACUAACACUCUUGGAGGCACAUCCAGUCAACAUGGGCCAGGUACUGGGCUGGAUCCGAGGCCCACGGGACAACCCCGCUCUUCAGCACAGGGCGGUGCAGGACCAGUCGCAGCCCAGCCAGGCCACACCCAAACCAGCUGCUCCGGUCUCCACUGGCACAUCUCCAAAGUCAGAGAAGCCGGUGUCUACAUUUUCCAUGACUACCAGAUCUGCAGGACGCGCUGCCACAGCCAGCCAAGAGCCACCAAAGGUAGAUG